AAGAACUUGGAUUUUGGGAAGAUGUAGCAGCUACUUCUAAAGCUUAUUUGAAAAAUGCCUUCUCACCAACAUGAGCACAGAGAUAAAAGAUUUGCUUAUCAGGGAGAAAUUUAGCUGAACAAAAAUAGAAUAUUGGAUGACUGUACCAGCUCCAUGAUACUUUCUGAAAUGGAAUCACCCCUAAAAAGGGAGAGGAACCGCA
rnacentral:lncRNA from 1 species